ensembl:lncRNA novel transcript
AGCAACCGGGUUGCGAACCAUGUUCUAUCCCGACUAAGUGGCCGUCCUGGGAGUUAUAGUGCCACUAGCCGGCCUCGGCUGUUCCCUGUCCGAGGCUCUUGUCAUUUCCGCUUAUUUCCUCCACGGGUGCCGAUUUCAUGUGUGUGUUCCCGAGUGCCUGAGCCGGCUCCCGAAAUGAGUACUCGUGGUUUCCGCGUGGGAACCAACCUCGAGCGCCAGUGGCCCGCCCUCUCCGGGCUGAGGUGGCUGCUGAGGCUGGGGCUGCUCCUGAGGCUUCAGGGCCGCCCGCUGCACGGCUUUCUACCUUCCCAGGUUAGCCGCGGUCAACUUCUGCCAGGCGGAGCGAGAAAUCGCAUUUUGUCAGCUGUAACACUCACCGUGAAGGUCUGAAGCUUUACUCUGGAAGCCAGUGAGACCAGGAACCCACCGGGAGGAAUGAACGACUCCAGACACACCGCCUUAAGAUCUGUGACACUCACCGCGAAGGUCUGCAGCUUCAUUCCUGAUCCAGCGAGACCAUGAACCCACCAGAAGGAAAAAACUCCGGACACAUCCGAACGUCUAGAAGAAACAAACUCCAGACACACCGCCUGUAAGAACUGUAACGGUCACCGCGAGGGUCCGCGGUUUCAUUCUUGAAGUCAGUGAGACCAAGAACCCACCAUUUCUGGACACACUACCAUGCCAGAGAUCCAGGGGCUGCAGCAUGCUGAAAGAAAACAGAAGCCUGUGGAGUGAGCCAAGAUCAACCAGGAAAUAAACCCUUUCCCUUGCGAUGUCUCUCCAGCGCCCUCUACUGACAAACCUGCUUUAGUGCCAGUUUGUAGAGAGACCUGCAGAAUUCAAUCAGAUGGAUUCUCACACCCGUUUGCAGAUGACUGCCUCUGGCCCUGUUGCUCAUCCUGUUUGCUCAGCAAGAGAACCUGUUGGUUUUUAUUUGAUAAAUGUACAAAUCUUGAGAGUUGGGAGAAUCAGUAGCCCACCUCAAAACUGACAUGCUUUGUGUUUUUGAGAAAGCUACUUUCAUUUGCUAUGACGUCUGGCUAACAAAGAUCUUUUUCAUUUUGUUUCAGAGACAGUUGGAUUUUUUUCCUGUUUCUGGUUAAUUGCUAAAAUCUACAGUGUGCUGAAGGUGGAGUAAAGUAUUUCCCCAAAGGAUUCCAAGCACAUCUCCCUUGCCCUUGAAUAUCUGUAUAUCUAUAUGAACAUCAAUUGAGAUAUAUAUGUGUGUGCCCCUAAUUACAUAAUUUUAAGCAUAUAUAUAAAAAUGUAAAAUCUCAUUGUCUGGCCUCAGUUUGUAUGACACAAAAUACUGAUUGUAUGGAAGAAAACAGAUUGGGAAACAGAUUUAUUCUAUAUCAUAUUUUCCUGAAAAGCUACCUUAAAAAGAUUUAAAUUAAAGCAAUUAGAGCAAGGGAGGCACAUUUCUUUAAAAAAUUAAAGUUGAGUACCAUACUGGUUUUUCAGAUGAAAUUUUCUUUUCCUUUUUCUCCUUCAUAUUGCUCAGAGCAUCUAAUUCCAUCAGAACUAUUGUCAAAUAAAUUUUAUGUAAAAUGUGUAUUUUUCUAAUGGGAGUUGAUUAUACAAACUGUAUUACACCUUUGUAUCUGAGUGAUCAUUUAAAAAUGCAUAUUGGUUUAGCACAUAGAGUUUAUGAAAUGCCAGAUAAUGCUCUUAUUCCUCAGUGAAAUCUGCACAUUUCUAGUUGUUGGUGGUCUAUUUCUGUUUGCUGUUCCUUGGAGGGGGGCUGAGAAUGUUCAAGUUUGACUUAGCUGUGUUUAAGUAAUAAAUCUUUGGAGUCAA